GGGAUUUAGUAGACAGAAGCUUCGGUGGAAGAUUACUAAUGAGAGUGGCGAACGGGUGAGUAACGCGUGAGCAACCUGCCUAUGACAGUGGGAUAGCCUCGGGAAACCGGGAUUAAUACCGCAUAAAAUCGUAGAAACACAUGUUUUAGCGGUCAAAGAUUUAUCGGUCAUAGAUGGGCUCGCGUCUGAUUAGCUAGUUGGUGAGAUAACAGCCCACCAAGGCGACGAUCAGUAGCCGGUCUGAGAGGAUGAACGGCCACAUUGGAACUGAGACACGGUCCAAACUCCUACGGGAGGCAGCAGUGGGGAAUAUUGCACAAUGGGGGAAACCCUGAUGCAGCGACGCCGCGUGAACGAAGAAGGUAUUCGUAUCGUAAAGUUCUGUCCUAUGGGAAGAUAAUGACAGUACCAUAGAAGAAAGCUCCGGCUAAAUACGUGCCAGCAGCCGCGGUAAUACGUAUGGAGCGAGCGUUGUCCGGAAUUAUUGGGCGUAAAGGGUACGCAGGCGGUUUAAUAAGUCGAAUGUUAAAGAUCGGGGCUCAACCCCGUAAAGCAUUGGAAACUGAUAAACUUGAGUAGUGGAGAGGAAAGUGGAAUUCCUAGUGUAGUGGUGAAAUACGUAGAUAUUAGGAGGAAUACCAGUAGCGAAGGCGACUUUCUGGACACAAACUGACGCUGAGGUACGAAAGCGUGGGGAGCAAACAGGAUUAG
rnacentral:rRNA from 2 species